UCCCUCCCCCAAUUUUUUUUUAUUUAGUCCUUUCAAAAAUGAGAAAAUCAUAAACUAAUACAUGAUAAAAUUAUAAUUUAAUCUCUAAAAAGAUUAUCAGUAAAUUUCGACCCCUUCUAAAAAAUUUCUAGAUUCCCCCUAUUUAGAUACUAUUAGAGGCUAAAUGUUCAAAAAGAGAGGAUAAAAGCUAAACUUUUCAAGAAUACUCAAAUAAGAGCUUUUCACACGCUUCAACCAGUUUGUAGUAUAAAAUUAGGCAAAUGAUGAUUUGUUUAGAAUAAAACAAAUGGCAGUUAUUUGAAAAGAAAAGAAAGAUAAAUAAAAACAUAAAUUGAGACUUGAUAAGCGAUAUUUGAGAAGCCCUUAUUUGAUUGUUUUGAAAGGUUUAAUCCUUAUCCAAGCGAUUCAUAAAAAAUUCGGUCCUAUUUUGAACAUUUAGCCUACCCUAGAAGACUAGUUAUUAAAUAUAUAUGUGUACUCCAUCAUUAAAAGUGUAGAGGAACCAUUGGGUUUUCCAAGGCAUCAGAUUCUUACCGAAUGUUUUCCAUCUUCUUGCUCCGAGCUGAUUCCCCGAUGUAAUCUGAAAGGCAAAAGUAUUCUACAUCAUCCUUCUAUCCGUAUUGAAUUCCACCAUUUCCCAACCUCUUAACAAGAACAAAAGCUCCAUCAAUGGUUUUGAGUUUUGAAACCAUCCUAUCAAUACAUAAGAACCAAUGUAAAUGAGGAUCCAAUGAGCUUUUAUUAGAUUUGUCAUGCACACACUUCAUACUAAAUAGAAAUCGAAGUAUUGGAACAAAUGUUUUCAUGGUAUCGGUUUAGAGUUCUCACCUAUGUUGCUCUGAGUCUUCAUUUUUCUUCAACUAUCCAUGUUUGACAUAUAUCUGAACACCAAUACAAGGAUAUGAAAACAUAAUCAUAUAUACUAACAUAAUCAUAUAUGAAAACAUAAUCAUAUAUACUAACACUCGAACUUCCUAACAAGAACACAAGCUCCAUCAAUGGUUUGAGUUCUUGAAACCAUC
rnacentral:lncRNA from 1 species